GACGAACGCUGGCGGCGUGCUUAACACAUGCAAGUCGAACGGAAGGACCCUGCGUUUGUGGGGUGCUCGAUUGGCGAACGGGUGAGUGACACGUGAGUAACCUGCCCUUAUCUUUGGGAUAACUUCAGGAGACUGGGGCGAAUACAGGGUAUGAGAUCCUGAUGCAUGGUGUUGGUUGGAGAAUGUCGGCGGUUGGGGAUGGACGGGCAGGUUAUGAGCUUGUUGGGGUGGUAGUGACUGACCAGGUCUUUGAAGGGUAGCCGGCCUGAGAGGGUGACCGGCCACAUGGGGCCUGAGAGACGGCGCAGUCUCCUACGGGACGCAGCAGUGGGGAGCAUUGCACAACGGGCGGAAGCCAGAGGCAGCAACGCUGCGUUCGGGAUGCUGUCUUUCGGGUUGUAAACAGAUGUCGCAGGUGCUGAAGAGUGAGUGACGGUAAUUGGUAAAGAAGCACCGGCUAACUACGUG
rnacentral:rRNA from 1 species